GCUGGGUGUGGUGGUGCAUACCUAUAAUUCCAGCAGCUCAGAAGGUUGAGGCAGGAGGAUUUGAAGUUCAAAGCCAGCCUCAG
rnacentral:sRNA from 1 species